rnacentral:tRNA from 1 species
AAGGAUUUAGGUUAACAAAACUUGUAGUCUUCAAAACUGCGAAUAAAGAUCCAUCUUUAAGCCUUA